rnacentral:lncRNA from 1 species
AUGGUUUGGGUUAGGUUGGAGUCGGUUUGGGUCAAACCGGUUUCAAGUGUGGUGAUAGCAUAUCCGACCCAUUGCAUCCUAAAGGGAGCCUCUUGUCUUGUCUUUCAAUUUUAACAAAGGAAAAAUUAUAAGUUUUGUCCUUUAUCUUUAUACAAUUUUUCAGGCGGUGUCAUUUUUAACGAAUGUUGACAGGCGGUGUCCUUUACUAGGUAUUUUGUUGUAAGUUUAGUCCUUUACACCCAACACAGUUAAAAAACCCUGUUAAUUGUUGGGUGUAAAGGACUAAAUUUGCAACAAAAUACCUAGUAAAGGACAUCGCUUGUCAACAAUUAACAGGGUUUUUUAACUGGGUUGGGUGUAAAGGACUAAACUUGCAACAAAAUACCUAGUAAAGGACACCACCUGUCAACAUUCGUUAAAAAGGACACCGCCUAAAAAGUAGUAUAAAGAUAAAGAACAAAUUACAAAUUAUUCUAAAAAUUGGGCCUAAUAACCCAGAAAGCACAGUUGGGCCAACAAAUUACUUUGUGUGGUGUUGGUUUAGUAUUUAGUAAUGCUUUUUAUUAAUGCUAUUGUGAUUUUACCAAUUAGGAUUUUAACUUGAAAAGUUUUUGAGACCAACUAAGAACUUUAGAUUAACAUCUUCAUCUAUGCUUUAAUUCAUUUUUUAGGGUGUGACUAAAAUAAAACAAUAUCUUGAAAUAACCGGAGCAUGACUGUCCAAAUAGCUCGUAGCUUAAAGCUUGCUCGAAAGUGAAAUGGUUUGUAAACGAGUCGUGCUUGGCCAAGGCUGCCUCGCUCAUUGGCUCAAUUGAAGUUGACCCAACUUUUAAUAUUUUUAUAAUUACAUUCCAUGUAAAGACUUUCAAAUCUUUUCAUCUUUUCAGCUCAAUUAUCCAUUAUCUAAUCUACUUGAAAACCUUUUUUUUCUUUUAAAUUCAAACAAUGUAAUCAAGCCAAACGGAACAAUGACGAAUACACCAUUUUUUAACCAAGCUGAACUCGAGCUCAAAUUUUCAGCUCGGUUUAAAAUUUAGGCCAAGCUAGAGCUAGCCCGAUUCAUCUUGCCUUGUGAACAACCCGAGAGAGGGUCCAGUUCCUGGUUCAACCGGUCAUUAAGUGUAUCUUAAUGGUGAACUUCACAAAUUCUUUUCUAGAUAAAUAUAAAGUAAGAUAGCGGAUUUUCACCAAACGGUAAAAAAAAUAAGCGUUUUUAAGCAAAUGACAAAAGCAGACAUUUUAUAUACAAC